rnacentral:rRNA from 1 species
UACGUAGGGUGCAAGCGUUAAUCGGAAUUACUGGGCGUAAAGCGUGCGCAGGCGGCUAUGCAAGACAGAUGUGAAAUCCCCGGGCUCAACCUGGGAACUGCAUUUGUGACUGCAUGGCUAGAGUACGGUAGAGGGGGAUGGAAUUCCGCGUGUAGCAGUGAAAUGCGUAGAGAUGCGGAGGAACACCGAUGGCGAAGGCAGCCCCCUGGGCUAGCACUGACGCUCAGGCACGAAAGCGUGGGGAGCAAACAGG